AUUGAACGCUGGCGGCAGGCCUAACACAUGCAAGUCGAGCGGAGCGGAGGACGGGGGAGUAAUGCCUAGGAAUCGGCCGGGUCCUGGGGGAGAACGUUCGGAAAUGGGCGCUAUCACUGCAUCCUAUCGGAUUAGGAUAGGCCGGAUUAGGUAGUUGGUGGGGUAAAGGCCUACCAAGGCGACGAUCCGUAACUGGUCUGAGAGGAUGAUGAGUCACACUGGAACUGAGACACGGUCCAGACUCCUACGGGAGGCAGCAGUGGGGAAUAUUGGACAAUGGGCGAAAGCCUGAUCCAGCCAUGCCGCGUGUGUGAAGAAGGUCUUCGGAUUGUAAAGCACUUUAAGUUGGGAGGCGUUACCAACAGAAUAAGCACCGGCUAACUUCGUGCCAGCAGCCGCGGUAAUUC
rnacentral:rRNA from 1 species